rnacentral:lncRNA from 1 species
UUAGCACACAAACAAUCAAGCUCAAACUCAGAGAACUUUGCAGAUUUCACAAAUUUAAAUCUAAAAUCAGAUUGAUGCAAUUUCGGUUCCUGCAACUUCUUAGGUUCAUUCAAUACAUAAGCAGAAACAAAUGAAUUAUCAAGGAUCAGUUGAUGCACAUGGAAGUUCGUAACCAAAAUCCUUUCUUCAGUUCUAGCAAAUGAAUCACAAGGUUUCAAACAGAAAUCAGAUUGUUUCAAUUCAAG